rnacentral:sRNA from 1 species
AAGUUUUGUUUUGAAUAAAUAUGUUUAUGCAUGACCCGAGUUCACGUGCUCUACGUGAACUUUGCAGACCAAAAGUUUUUCGCCCAACAAUUUCGCAGAGUAUCUCCAGAGUUUCCUGACCACUUUUCGCUUAUCUCACAUUCCUGACAGCUUUUAAAGCCCUACGCUGGCGAUUUUCCCAUGUGUCGGCGAGAGCGAGUCGAAGCAAUUCAAUUAACGCGUUUGGGGUCGCCACAGUCAAUUGGCCGUGGAAAGGGGAGGGUGGAACAGGGAGCUCGCCUGACGGGCCGCCAAUUGAUGAACAAACAAGACUCCAAAAUGUCGCGAGAAAUUCGAGUGGCGACCCCCUGAGACCGACGGUGCAGCACGGGCACACGUAGGCCAUAGUAAAAUGUCAGUUAAGUAAAAUAAACAUGGCCAAAGCGCCUGACAUGGCUGAAACGUCAACAAUGCUCAAAAGCCAAAAGCAAACAAUGGCAGGAAAAUGCGAAGAGGGGGUGAUGAAAAGGAUAAAUGGACGGGAAUGCUCUGAAAGGAUUGUUGUGGCUUGCGGCCAAGCUGAUUUUAAUUUUGAAUAGGUAUAUUUAUUAAGUAAUUGAAAAAUGUUCUUUGAAUUUCAUUUAAUUUAUUGGGAAAAUGUUUAAAUUACGUUACAUUGUUUGGCCAUAAAUAUAUAUAAUAUUUGAACAUUGUUUGAAGUGGCUUGCGGUGUGGCUUGCUUUGUGCAGGAAGGAUUAAUUAUUUGAAAAGCUCACACUCCUGGUCAUAGUUCAUAUACCCGCUCACGAAACGUUCUUCCUAGAGAAAUACGUUACCACAAUUCGAACCAAUUGCACUGAGUUGCCAGUGACUCGUGCUUGUUUUUGGCAACCAAUCCACUUAUGUUCUGCCCUCUAGCAUCCCUCCUUCCACAUUCACUUUCAUCCGCUUUUCACCCACUUUUCGACCAUCAUUUUCACAUCUUUGCCCCCUCCCACCAUGGGACUCUGUACACUUUUUGUAUUGAAUUUAUUGACUGCAACUUGCCAUGAGAAUUUAAGCGGAUCUUCGCCAACUUCGAUUCAAUCGCUCACGCAGUUCUCCCCGCACUUUCAUUUGACAGCUGUUGCUUGGCAGGGGCCUGCGAUAGUUGACAGCGGAAAUGAUUUAAUUUCCGUUCUACAACAAUGGGAAAUCAUCCUGCUGCGUUUGGCAGCUGCAAAGUGAAGUGAAGGCUGUGAGAGGAUUGCACAACUUGCAAUUGAAACUAUGUAUAUUUCUGCUUUUGUUCGCAUUUUAAUAGACAAUGAGUCCAAACUGGUGACGCGCAUUGUUGCAGUUGUCUGUUUGAAGUGUUGAUCCUUCAACACAGUUUUAAGGAUAUUAACACAUACUGUGUAUGCAUACGUUCCAAAUAAAGCAACAAAUUAAACACGCUCAACUCUUAAAUUCCUUGCUAGUCAUAUUUUGUUCGGAUUAUCUUGCUAUGCCACAUUGCUUAUACGCAACGUUGACUGGGUAUUAAGCAUACGCACCGUUGUGGCUUGUCUUUGUUUCUCGCCAUCCUUUUAGCAAUUCUAUCUUUGUACACCUAGCAACUGGUAGCCAAAGGAGAGAGAGAGGACCAAAAAAACGACAAAACUAUUUUUAUGCCAACGAGAGCUAGAGAGCGAGUGGGAAAUGGAAGUACUCUCGCACAGACGGACUUCGGCGGCUUACAUUAUGUCAAUAGCAUAGGUAAAAGCACUGUAAUGAGAGGGGGAGCCAUUGUGGGGCCAGUCUGGAUAAGCAAACGAUGUUCAUUAAUGGCGCACGCCAAGCACAGAGAAAAAAAUCCCUUAAUUUGGUUACUACAUUACGUUUCAAAAGUUUAAAUCAUAUAUAUGUUUUAAUAAAAGAACUGUAAAUGCAUUUCCCUUACAUAAUGGAAAUAAUAAAUAAUAGUAAAUGUUAUAGGACACAUUUUUUUUCAUUUGCUGUUGGUAUCAUGUUUUUCCGAGUGCACCAUUUGUGCGAAACUCAAUUCGGUUUGGUCUGCAUUUGGCUGACAACGUUGAUAGUGGCACAAAAGGCGGGCCAGAUAACAGAUAACAAAGCCAUAUACUAUAUAUAUCUGCGUAUAGCGGUGUCUGUGUGCCCGUCGCCGGGUAUCUGUGUUCGCCUAGUUUUUCAUGGGUGUUUGUGGCAAUGCAAACAAGCGGGGGCAAGAUGGCGUAAGCCAUCGAGGGGCGGAAAGCCGGAUGGGGCGGCUUGAGGCGGGAAAAACUGUCAUUAGGCGGCGGCGUUGGCGCGUCAUGAACUAGCCAAAGUCGAUUAGUGGAGGAAACAGUCAGAAAGGACGAUCCGAAAUGCUAUUUGCAUUCUCGAAAGGCUCGAAUUGUCGGCCUGGAUCAAUAACCUGUUGCUGGCCAGAGAGCGAUGGAUAAAUAGACGGGGAGAAAUGGUAAAAUAUUGUUUUAUUUAGCAUUUGCCUGUGAAUUAUGUUACUUGUCCCACAUAACGCGAAAAACAAAGAGCGCGAGAGUGCAAAAAGCGAAAUGAGCGAGCUCUGGCAAUUUAAAUUAAAUAAAUAAAUAAAUCUCAUUAUCACAUGUGGCUCGUGUAUUCAAUUAUAUUAGCAGCUUGGCAAACAUCAAGGGGGGAGAGAGUUUAAAGCGGGAAAUACCACCCCCACGCACUUGAUGAGCUCAAGUUUCACACAUGUUUGAUAAGUUAUCAAAAAAAGGCAGCUACUAACUGCUGUAAUAAAGUUAACGAAGAUUAAAAGUAGAAAUUAAACAGAUUGAAGGAAAAUUAAAACGUAAUACAACGACGAAAAAUUCAAUCUUAGUGGACAUUUAACUAUCCUAAAGACCCACAUAGUACGCACUUAUCCACAUAUUUACACAUUUUUUAUUGGCAGUCAACAUUUUAGUAUACCCAGCUUAUAUAUAAACGUAUGCAUAUUGUAACUACGCGUAUUCAUGCAUGGCCUCAAGGUCAUCGCGAUGAAAAAUUUAUCCGAACGCCAGCCAUAAACGAUUCCCAUUUGUCUGGCGGCAAAAGGCGAACUCCGAGGGGCCAAUAUGGUAAAGCAUUAAUGUUAUACAACUGUUGGCGUCCACUACUGAGCCGCACUUAAAAAAAUAAUAAGAUAUGUACAAAUCAACCUAUAAAAUGUAAAUUACACAUUAGACAAGGCAUAUUUUUAUUGUAAAGCCAAUUUUGCCUUAUUAAUGUUGAUAAUUAAACGGCGAUGAAAUUUUUUCAUAAAUUUAUAAAUCAGAUACGUCUAAUGAUUAUCAUAGGGUUUUUAAAUAUUUUCAAAAAAAUUAAAAAAAAAUGUAAGUAAACAAAUUUUUAUUUUCAUUAUAGCUAGCUUUACAAGUUUCCCAAAGUUGUAAAAAGGAUUUAAAAGUCAAUGCAAUUGCAUAAAUCACACUUAUGCGCGAUGUUAGAUAUAAAAGAAAAUCUCUAAUUGCGUGUAGUUGUAACGAACGACUUUAAUUAAAGUCUGCUUUUAUGACACGAAUGCAAGUGUUAUUUAUUUCCCACUCGGAUUUAAUGGCUAAGGAAACAUUAAAGACCAGCCGACAACGGGGCGUAUGAGCAACUUUCUAUUCUCUAGCGGAAAGCAAACUCCCCUAGCUUUUUUGCUGCGUAUCGCAUUUCCAAUUUGAACGCAUCCGCAGACGAAAAAAAUAAAAAGAGGAGAAGAAGCCAGCUACAAAAUGCUGUCAGCUACUUGAGCAAGAUUUUCAAUUUACUUCCACCGACUGAGGGAAACCCCAGACGCCUUUUCCUCCUUUACUUUGUUAUCCUGAUGAAGAAAUAUUGAAAUUGUAUGCGCGAGCAAGAGGCGUCGCCAGUUAGUUCGUCUCAUAAAUCUCGUUUGCGGCCAACUUAUUACACGUCUUCUUACUGUGCACGAGAACUCGAGCGGAUUAUGUAACAUUUUUAAUAAAAAUAUAUUACGGGAAUGGGGUAUGACAAUUUGUUGGCCGAACGGAACCACUUCAAAGCCACGUUUCCUGGAAUUUAAUUUCACUUUCCGGCCACCGCCCGAGGAAUUGUCUCGCAGACUCCCCCUUUUCGCCUCAUACCUUUCUCUUAUCAAUUACAUGAAGUGAACUACGUGAGCCGUUGGCCAAAUAUUUGCACAGGUCUCAGCUUAAUAGCUGAGGUCGCCGAAAAUUCGCAGGAAGAGGUCAGGAGUUUUGGUCUAAAAAUAAAUUAUAAACAAACAUUUGGCUCUUUGCAUCUCCAGCCCCUUCCCAUAUGCUCACUGUUUGUUUGAGUUAUCAUUAUGACAUGCUCGAAAUUACCAAUGACAAACGUGCCUUGACUAUCCAAACGAGCACAUCCAUACUCAUCUCCCCAAGCGAACGCUGCACUGGGAGAAAGUAUAUAAAGUAUUGAUAAGUUGUUUGGUUAUUUUGGAUGUGAAGAUGUUUAAACUAACUGCUCACUCUAAUCGGGUAACUCUAAAUUUUUAAAUUAAAAAGUGAUUCACUUUUGCCCCUGACUCCCGAAUUCUCCCAACUUUAAGCCCUUUUCUGCCCGUGCAGCCCUCAAUGAAGGUCAAACAUUUGGAGCCUGCCUUGUUCUUCUGCUUGUGCUCCAGUGUUAUUGCGCUGAUUGCGCUUGUCGCCGGAAUGUUCGGUUAGGAGUCUCCACUCCCACCCCAGAUUCCACCGCCUCCUGGCCAAAACCCAAUGCCGAAUCCCCAGAGCCAUGUCCAGUCCAACAUGGUGCAGCAUGACUAAGCGGGGCGAAAUUAGGUUGUUUGUUUCUCCAUCGAAAAAGGCAGGGUCGGGUGGCAAGAAAGGUCGUGAGGGGAGGACAAACGGCCAAUCUCUGCGUGCUCUGCGCCUCUUGCAGCAGGAAGUCAAAGCUUUGCCAAGAAUUUAAAUGCUCCAUUUGAGAUUUUGAUUAAACUAUUUUCAUCUGCCAAGAUGUCAAAAUGGUACGCAAUGGAAAUAGAAAGAAGAUAGAGUAUACGCCAUGGGGAUCUUGAUAGCUCAGGCGCAUUGCGAGUGGGAAUUUAAGUUGUUCUCAAAUAUAAAAUAUUAUUUUCAGACUCUUCUUAUAAUAAGUAUUUGUAAGUUUAGUUUGAAAGUUAAACAGCCUGCUUGAUUAUAAACGAUAAUGUUAAUGGAAACUCUUCCCUAACUUUCAUAAAGAACUAUCAUAAAUCAUGCAUAGAGCGGAGUUCAAGUGCCAAAGACUGAAAUGUAUCUAUGAAAAUUGUACUGCGCCCCCAUAGCUGCACUCAUAAUCUCCCAUCACACCACUUCCUUAUAGCACCCUAAGCAUUAUCUCUGCUUCGCAACCACUUGAAAGUUGCCCGUAUCACUUGGCGGUUUCCAGCCACGCACUGAAUAAGCAAAUAUUUGAACACUUUCAACCGAACAAUCAUUAAUUAAAUUACCUGACAAUAAAAGAGUAGAGAACACAUUUUAUUAGAUAUAAUCGAACCCUCGAAAAUUAUGAAUGGGGCCACAACGCGCCCAAAAUAGAAAAAUUCAAACGGAACGGUUUGAUGUCAAAUGGUCGUUUCCUGUGGGUGGUCAUUUGCUUUUCUGGAGACCAUUCAAGUUGCUAGAGCUAAGCAAACACUCUAUUUUCGGUGUGGAAAUUUACCAACUUGCGUUGAAGGCAACAAAGCGAGUUCAACGCUUUUGUUUGUCGGCUAAAAUUAGCCGAAACAACAGUGGCUGACCACUGGGAAAAUCUGGUUGUUGCUUGAGUGCUGUUGCAUUUGCAUGGUGACGUCAAGAGGAAAAGCUUCGAAGCUGGGAAGCUGGCAGAAGCGGCAAUGCGUCGGCAGCUCUAAUUAAGACAAAAUAGUUUUGCGCCAGUCAAGGCCAGAAGAUAAAGUGGUGCAGGCUGCUUCUGGAGGUCUUCUGGCCUGCUGCUUGCUGCUUUCUGCUGGCUGCUUUGCUGAUGCCUGCUUUCUGCACUUUUGGCCAGGCCAGCAGCACGCCAGCAAACGUAGCAUACUGUGCGGCAAAAGCACAAGCACACAAGCGUGCCCGCACCCAAAGAAGGCAGCAAGUGGAUGCACCUGAAGGAGACUUGAGUUGGCCGGGCCGAGAGAGGACUUAAAGCUGUCUUUGGGCCAACUUUUGCCAGCAAUUAAACGUGACUUCAACUGCGACAGUAACAAGAGUGAUAAAACCGCACAGCCAAAACAGUUGCAACAGCAAAAUCUGCACCAGCCACACUGCACUUUGAAACAUGACAAGAAAAAUAUUGGUUUAAGCACACAAAGGUCCAAAAUAACAGCAGCCAGCGCUUGUAUGUGGGCAAAUCAAUACAAAGCAGCUGUAACAACAGCUCUAGUUGUUUUAACCACAAUAGAAACAAUAUCUAUUCACAUUACUCGGACAGUUUACAUUACAAAGGCCAAUUCCAUUCAAUUCAAUUCAAUUAGGACCUGUAAAUCAAAGUUUAUAAAAUUUAAUAUUUUCCAAAGAACUCUCCAUGUAAGCAUCUAAACAUGUGCAAGUGACCACUUUGCACAUAAUUUCUUGCGAAUUCUGGUAUUAAGCAUUUCCCAGAACAAUCCGGAAAGCAAAUUAGGCAAAGCUGAAUAUGCUGAUUUUAGAUAAUAGAUUUGGAUUAAUACUAUGGACUUAUAACCAAAUUAAAUGGAAAUAAGUAAUUGAACCUACAAAUGAAGUACACUUGAACGUGAGACCAUGACAUGGGAGAAGAGCAGCCACGUUGCUAAUAGAACUCGAUUCCGUGGAGACAGCAGCAGCAUUAACCCCAACAGCAACAUUAACCCUGGCAGCUGGUGUUGCUGCUUUCGCUUCCACUAAAUGCGAGUUGAUUCCAUGCACAUACAUUAGAUUUUCCAGCAAUCCGACCAUAAAAAUCAACAAACAGUCAAUGAACCCCUUGCGCGUCAAUGGGACAGAAACAAAAGCAGCAAAAACACAACCAUGGAAAUGCGAAAUAAAACUAAACGUGAAACUGACGCACCGAGCAAAGAGUGUUGGCAAAAGUCAAAGACUAUCAGGAGUUUUGCGUUGCCGCUGCCGCUGCUGUUGCCGUUUGAUUAUCGUGUCAUUUCUCUGGACUUUUUUCAAAUACUCAUUCAUUCACUCGCCCGCUCACUCGUUCAUUCAUUCGGCGUGUUCGGAGCUGCCAGUGCUUCCAAGAGAAUAACAAGAAAAUAAUAUGCUUUGUAGCAGCCAUUGUUGUUGCACUUAUAAUUGCCGGCCAGCAACAACAAGUGACGCCAGCCAAAGCAAUUUCUCUGACUGACUCUCGGACCUGCUCCUGACCCGCCUUUCCGCCAUCGAAAGCCAAGUGAGCCGCCAGCGAGGAGCCGCCAACAUGCCCUGCUAGAAGCGGAAUAUUUGAAUUAUGACCAGCAGUUAGAUGCUGUGAAUGCGAUCUCGUGAAAUGCUGAAUUUUCCCAAGCAACUCGGCUAAACAGAGAAGGAGAAAAUCAAUCAAGCGAAACAAAUUUCCAAUUUAACUGCAAUAAUUAUGAACGUGAUUUAAUAAUCCAUAUGCUCCAUAUAUGCUCGCAGUCCAGUUAGAGCAAAAUAAUUAAUAUUUUAUAUUGCUCGACAUUUUAAAUUGCUUUUUAAUUAGGGUGGGACACGAGGCGUAUGCGCAAUAUGGUUGAUAAUUGUAAGUUUAAUGGGUAAAAGGUGAGCUUUUCAAUUUGUAUUGUUUUAAAAGCAGCACAAAUUUGUAAGGAUCGUAAAUAAAUAUUUCCUUAUAGCACCGAACCAAGAGGAACUCUAGAUAACUUCAUUUUAACCACUUUAAAACUAUUUCCUCCUUACACAUGUUUCGAUUCGCUGAAACCUAAGUACCUUUCAGGCAACUUUCCCAUGGAAUUUCCUAUGAUUUUCCUUGACCGCUGUGCCCAUCUUGGCCACACCUUGACGUCCUGCUGACUUUGCUGGCCAUCAGCGCGUGCAAUCAACCCAAGCAAAACCGAAGACCUCAGGACCUAGCAGCAGAUGUGAACGGACCGUUAAAGGUUAGAGCCAUUUUCGAAAACCAAAUCCAAAUGCCUGUCAGUAAAAAUCUGUUGAAAACAAUCAUCAAGGGAAAACGAAAUGAAAAUAAAAUACUAAUUACCCAGGUAAACAAAAACAUGAGUGAGAAUUACUCAUGCAGCGAAUAGAUUUGUGUCAUUGGUGACAAAUGGUUUGUUGCUUGAAUGUAUGAAUGGUUGGCCAAACGACCAAUGAGUCCCAGAACAUAAACGUCAUUGAUUCGAAGGAAAUUGACGUCAAUAUCAAUAAAAAAAUAAAUAAAACCACGCCAGAUAAAUCGAAUCCAACAAUUAGCAAUAUGUGAAAUGCUCGCAACACUUUUUCGCCAGCGUGUGAAAACCUAAUCAGCACGCACACGAUCUUUUUGAAAAGUCCCACCAAGUCGAACACAGUUGAAAUAAGUUGAAAAACUCUUCAGAUGCCGAUUAUUUCGAUUUAAAGCCAUUCGUAUUUGCAGCAAAGUAAUUAAUUUUAUAAAUGGAAAUUUGGCUAAAUUUUGAACGCUUGCCAGCUGGCGAGUGUCGAGAAACGGAGGGCAAAUAUUUAUGAGUGGGCAAGGUAAGUUCUGAGCCAACAGAUAAUUUGGCUAAGUAUGGACUGGAAACAGUAUCAGAUAACGAAAGGGGGAAAGUCGGGGAGAAAUUUUAGAGGAACUUAUUUUUUUAAGUCGCAAAUGUGUUCAUUAGGCAGUACUACGCUUUAGGAAUAUGAAUUAAACUGCUUUUCUCAAACACAUCAUGCAAGCAAAUAGUAUUUUCCAUGGCACAGUUGAACCCGGGCCAUUUUCCAAUCUUCACAACCGACUUUUGGCCAAGUCCGAAUCAAUUUUCCUUCGAUCCAACCCUUGACAACCAAUCGCGUUAAUAAAGUGUUAAUUAGCCGAUGAUCAGACGUUACGUAGCGUCUGCGACAAUAUUUGUUUACUCGCAUAUAUAUCGCUUGACUUUGAUCUGGAAACGUCCGACAAUGACACCGAAAAUAAAUAGAAAUAUCUUUACAAAUAUUAUUCAUUAAUGGAAACUUUUUUACACACGAAUUUCGGAAUUGUCACGGAGUCUAAUUCAAGGAAAUAAGCCGAGCAAAUAAACAAUACGGAAUCGCCAGUACCCGAACUCGAUGCUCCGUUACCAUAAGGCAAACAAAUAAAUAUAUACAAUAUUUAUUUGAUAUUCUGUUGGUUUAGUGCGCGGGAGGACGGUGACUGGAAAAGUUUCAGAAUAUGUUUAUGCCUUCGAUCCACUUGUUUGUUUGGUUUAAGCCAUAAAUCGUAAAUAGAGACGCUUAACGAGGAUCAAUAUCGAUAUCAGUUGGGUCAACAGUCCGAAUGGAAGGAACUUUUCCAACACUUUGGCAGGUUCGAUUCUCUAGAAGCCCUCACAGCCACGAGUCUGAGUAAUGGAUAUUCGACUUGGCUUCAGUUGACUUGGCUAUCAGCAGCAUAAAUUGUAACACGAUGCCUGGAUGUGUCUGGGCUCUGGGCGAUCCGCAGAAAAUACAAAAAGUUGCACACAAUAUUCAAAAUAUUGCCCGACAUUGCACAUUAAUAAGUAAACAGAACGGGAAACAGGAACGGCAGCUCCGGCAAACUUGUUCGACUUCUUGGAAAUUGGGAAAUUCGAAACGAUACCCAGUGUAAGCCCUUUGCGAACUCACUGAACAGCUGACGACGGAGGAAAGGUUAAUUCUUUUGAAGUUCAAAAAGUCUGCACAAAUGCAAAUGAUGUUGACGUCUUGUCUGAUAAGGGUAAUGAGCAGACUAAUGAAAUCAUAAAUAAUUUCUCUUCAUUCGAAGACGCUUUUGUCUUCAGUUGGCAAAUGUUUCUGACAGGCGAAAGGAGCUUUACAUUAAUAUUUAUUAUGAAAUAUAUGUAUAAGCAUUUGUUGUGAGUGCUGAUGGAUUUCAAAUUUGAACAAAGAUUACAUCCACUGAAUGUAAAAAUCUAAAUAUGCCUGUAUGUGCAAUUAUCACAAUUAUCUUUGUACUUUCCUUGGAAUAUACCUUUUCCCACCAAUUAAUUGAGUAAUCUGUAUCGCUCUACUGUCCUAGACAAUCUCAUUUGCGGCUGUGUAAUUUGUAUGAUUUCCAACCAGUUUAAGGGCUGAUUGCCGACCGCAAGCCUCGUAGUAGAUCUGCGGUCGAACAACAAUCGCAAAUUGCCCCUUUGGGUAAUUAAAAAAAGGCUAGAUAAAAAGAUAUAUAAACUGGGAAUAAUGCAAUUGCUUAGAACAACAAAAGCGUUUAAGCUGGAGCCAGCCCCACAAGCCCCCGCCCACCUGCAGUGGUACGCCCCCCACCCAGUGCUUUUAGAAUCAAUUUUUUUCUAUUCACUUACUGAACGUUGGAAAAUUUUCCAUCCAAACUCUCGGCACGAAAGCAAAAUAAGAGCAAAACAAAACACGGGUAAACAAAACAAACAGCGGAGAGAGCCAGAUAUAAAUUAAUUAAAUCUGUUUGAUUUCUAUAAACAAAACGAAGAUUAAUUGCGGGCAGGCGAAAAAAUAUGCGUUAUUAAAGUAUAUUAAUUAAGGCCACUUUUUCUUCUAGUUUGACCGCGAAAGAGAGGGGAGACUGUGGCGGAAAGAGACGGGGAGAAACAAGAAG